rnacentral:rRNA from 1 species
UGGCGCCAGCUGCACCGCCGGGUAUCCACGUUCGGUCAGGAUAAGCGCUGAAAGCAUCUAAGCGCGAAGCCGUCUUCAAGAUGAGACAUCUAUGAGGGUCGUGGGAGACUACCACGUUGAUAGGCAGGAGGUCUAAAGGCAGCAAUGUCAAAGCCGACCUGUACUAAUAGCCCGACAUCUUCCUC